AAAGCUUUGUCUUCAGGGACGAUAAUGACGGUACCUGAGGAGGAAGCCACGGCUAACUACGUGCCAGCAGCCGCGGUAAUACGUAGGUGGCAAGCGUUGUCCGGAUUUACUGGGCGUAAAGGGAGCGUAGGUGGAUAUUUAAGUGGGAUGUGAAAUACUCGGGCUUAACUUGAGUGCUGCAUUCCAAACUGGAUAUCUAGAGUGCAGGAGAGGAAAGUAGAAUUCCUAGUGUAGCGGUGAAAUGCGUAGAGAUUAGGAAGAAUACCAGUGGCGAAGGCGACUUUCUGGACUGUAACUGACACUGAGGCUCGAAAGCGUGGGGAGCAAACAGGAUUAGAUACCUGGUAAGGUCA
rnacentral:rRNA from 1 species